ensembl:lncRNA
GUCGAAGUAUAUUGCCUCAGUUGUUAACAGAUCCUUUCAGUUUUACUAUUAGUCUUCUGGAUAUUCUGGUACCAAUGGCAACUCUUUUCCUUGUGGUGUUGUAUUUCCUAUCAUUUCAAGGUCUCCGCAGCGCGUUCGGGGACCAGCACAGAAAGCUGACCGCAACGCAGGGAGAAAUGCUCGUUGUAAAGUGUGAUGUUGGGGGCACCAACAUCACCUGGACCCAUCACCACCCCUCAGAGAGCCAGCGGCCCCUGUUGCAGAGUCGUGAAGACCGGACGAGGACGCCCUGGGGACCCCAGCGGGCACUUGGUGGUGCUGAGUGCGUCCGUGGAGAGGCAGGGCAACUACUCCUGCUCCCCGUGGAAUUCCAACGCCACCUGUUGGUACACUUUGACUGUGAGCCCGACCAGACAGGAGGAGGUCCCUGUUAAAGACUGCGAAAAAGGGUUAUCCUGCAAACUGAAAAAUUUCUGCCCGAGGGAUUUGUUUAUCCCAUCACUUAAACUCCUCAAAAAACAGUGUG